GUCCACGCCGUAAACGAUGGGCACUAGGUGUGGGAGGUGUCGACUCCUUCCGUGCCGUAGCUAACGCAUUAAGUGCCCCGCCUGGGGGAGUACGGCCGCAAGGCUAAAACUCAAAGGAAUUGACGGGGGCCCGCACAAGCAGCGGAGCAUGUUGUUUAAUUCGACGCAACGCGAAGAACCUUACCUGGGUUUGACAUGACCGUGUAACUCCUGGAAACAGGAGCCCCUCGCAAGAGGCGCGGCCACAGGUGGUGCAUGGCUGUCGU
rnacentral:rRNA from 1 species